UACGUAGGGUGCGAGCGUUAAUCGGAAUUACUGGGCGUAAAGCGUGCGUAGGCGGUCCGCGAAGUCUGAUGUGAAAGCCCCGGGCUCAACCUGGGAACUGCAUUGGAAACUAACGGGCUCGAGUGUGGCAGAGGGGGGUGGAAUUCCACGUGUAGCAGUGAAAUGCGUAGAUAUCGUGAGGAACACCAGAGGCGAAGGCGGCUACCUGGACAAUUGCUGACGCUCAGGCACGAAAGCGUGGGGAGCAAACAGG
rnacentral:rRNA from 1 species